GGGUGUAUAGCUCAGUUGGUAGAGCAUUGGGCUUUCAACAUAAGAGUGGGGUCGCAGGUUCAAGUCCUCUUAUACCUA
rnacentral:tRNA from 1 species